rnacentral:rRNA from 1 species
GAUGAACGCUGGCGGCGUGCCUAAUACAUGCAAGUCGAGCGAACGGACGAGAAGCUUGCUUUUCUGAUGUUAGCGGCUGACGGGUGAGUAACACGUGGAUAACCUACCUAUAAGACUUGUAUAACUUCGGGAAUCCGGAUCUAAUACCGUAUAAUAUUUUGAACCGCAUGGUUCAAAAGUGAAAGACGGUCUUGCUGUCACUUAUUGAUGGAUCCUCUCUGCAUUAGCUAGUUGGUAAGGUAACGUCUUACCAAGGCAACGAUGCAUAGCCGACCUGAGAGGGAGAUCGGCAACACUGGAACUGAGACACGGACCAGAGUACUACGGGAGGCAGCAGUAGGGAAUAUGCCGCAAUGGGCGAAAGCAUGACGGAGCAACGCCGCGUGAGUGAUGAAGGUCUUCGGAUCGUAAAACUCUGUUAUUAGGGAAGAAAAUAUGUGUAAGUAAAUGUGCACAUCUUGACGGUACCUAAUAAGAAAGCAACGGCUAACUACGUG